rfam:Tncultured marine crenarchaeote AD1000-325-A12 genomic sequence.
AAUCCGGUUGAUCCUGCCGGACCCGACUGCUAUCGGAUAGAGAUUAAGCCAUGCUAGUUGAACAUUUCUUAACUAUGUGAGAAGUGUAGCGUACUGCUCAGUAACACGUGGUCAACCUGCCCUAGAGACGUGUAUAACCCCGGGAAACUGGGACUAAUACGCGAUAAGUCAUAUUUUCUGGAAUGGUUUAUGAUAUAAAGGAUUUUUCAAACAUGUUUGAUUUAUUGCUUUAGGAUGGGACUGCGGCCGAUCAGGUUGUUGGUGGGGUAAUGGCCCACCAAGCCUAUUACCGGUGCGGGCUUUGAGAGAAGGAGCCUGGAGAUGGACACUGAGAAAAGGGUCCAGGCCCUACGGGGCGCAGCAGGCGCGAAAACUUCGCAAUGUGCGAAAGCACGACGAGGUUAAUCCGAGUGCAACAUGCUGAAUGUAGCUUUUGAUAAGUGUAAGUAGUUUAUUGAAUAAGGGGAGGGAAAGUCUGGUGUCAGCCGCCGCGGUAAUACCAGCUCCCCGAGUGGUCGGGACGAUUAUUGGGCCUAAAGCAUCCGUAGCCUGUUCUGUAGGUCUUAUGUUAAAACCAAUUGCUUAACAAUUGGACUGCAUGAGAUACCACAAAACUAGGAGGCGGGAGAGGUGGACGGUACUCCACGGGUAGUGGUAAAAUGCUCUGAUCCGUGGAAGACCACCAGUGGCGAAGGCGGUCCACCAGAACGCGCUCGACGGUGAGGGAUGAAAGCUGGGGUAGCGAACCGGAUUAGAUACCCGGGUAGUCCCAGCUGUAAACGAUGCAAGCUAGGUGAUGGAUUAGCCACGUGUUAAUCCAGUGCCGCAGGGAAGCCGUUAAGCUUGCCGCCUGGGGAGUACGGUCGCAAGGCUGAAACUUAAAGGAAUUGGCGGGGGAGCACCACAAGGGGUGAAGCCUGCGGUUCAAUUGGAGUCAACGCCGGGAACCUUACCAGGAGAGACAGCAGGGUGAAGGUCAAGCUGAAGACUUUACCAGACAAGCUGAGAGGAGGCGCAUGGCCGUCGACAGCUCGUGCCGUGAGGCGUCCUGUUAAGUCAGGCAACGAGCGAGACCCUUGCCAUUAAUUGCUUCCAUCGAUCGCAAGGUUGGCGGAGCUAGUUAAUGGGACUGCCGUCGCUAAGACGGAGGAAGGAAGGGGCCACGGCAGGUCAGUAUGCCCCGAAACUCUUGGGCCACACGCGGGCUGCAAUGGUAGGCACAAUAGGUACCGAAUUCGAAAGAAUGAGGCAAUCCCAAAAUCCUACCCCAGUUGUGAUUGAGGGCUGCAACUCGCCCUCAUGAAUCUGGAAUCCCUAGUAACCGCGUGUCAACAUCGCGCGGUGAAUACGUCCCUGCUCCUUGCACACACCGCCCGUCGCUUCACCCGAGUUGGGUUUGGGGGAGGUAGUAUCUUAUUGGUAUUAUCGAACCUAGGUUCGACAAGGGGGGAGAAGUCGUAACAAGGUGGCCGUAGGGGAACCUGCGGCCGGAUCACCUCCU